GCCCAAAGGGCGAGAGGCCUAUUGUUUUCCUUAGGAUUAUUUUUUAUUAUUAUUAGGGCUCAAGCCCAAAGGGCGAGAGGCCUAUUGUUUUCCUUAGGAUUAUUUUUUAUUAUUAUUAUUAUUAUUAUUAUUAUUAUUAUUAUUAUUAUUAUUUUUUUCCAACGUCUCGGGGGCUUUUGGGGCCCUUAACGUGCUUAAAAAGUCUUGAAAAUUGGCACACAGAUUGGAACCUGCGGCCAUUAGGGCCGGGCAGAGACUGAUACACGGGCGUGGCACAGGGGCUCUACAGCGCCCCCUGGAAUAUGGAGGGCCAUAUAUCAUACAUUCUUGCUCGUAGACGUAUGAAACUCGGUACACAUAUAAAUCUCAUCAAUCCAAACAACUUUUGUAUUGCAUAUCAUAGGCUCCUCCCAACAGGAAGUUGGCUAUUUAGGGUUUAGUAUUCAAAUUUUUCGUCAAAGUUGUGGGGGCUUUUGGGGUCCUUAACAUACUCAAAAACUCUUGAAAAUUUGCGCACACUUUGGAAUCUGUGGCCUUUAGGAGCCUGCAGAGGCUGGGACCCGGGCGUGGCACAGGGGCUCUACGGCGCCCCCUGGAACACAGUCAGAAAUGUUGAUGUAUAGCUCACACAUACUUGCACAUUUUCAUAUGAAACUCAGUACACAUAUAGAUCUCAUCGUGCCGAACAACUUUCGUAUUGCAUGUCAUAGGCUCCACCCAACAGGAAGUCAGCUAUUUAGAGUUAUGUAAAAAGCGCAUGCUCUGGAAUUUGAAAUACUUGUCAUAGGUUUUUUUCUCGAUUGCCGCCAAACUCGGUCAACAUGAUCUCAAGACAUUGGGGAUGAAAAAUUGCCAGGGGAUUUUUGAUAUCUCGAACGGUUUGCUCGUGGCGAGGCGUUGAAAUUAUGGCGAGAAAUUAGAAACAGGAAGUGUCUAAUACCAUCCACAUACAUUUCCUGAUUUUAAUCAAACUUCAUCAGAUUAUUCGUUGUAUGAUGUCGAUCGCAUAUAUGUGACUAUUAGGAGUCAAAGUUAUAGCGCCACCAACUGGCAGAAGGAAGUGUGUCAUUUUCAAAAUGAUUUGAAUUCAGCAUCUUAUUAUUACUCGAUUUGAUUCAAACUUCGUCAGAAUAAUGUUAAAACACAGCUGAUAUAAAUCUGCAAGGGGGAUAUUGAUAUCUAAAAAAUUGUUGCCGUGGCAACAUGUCAAACUGGAAUACUUCUCAGGUGAUUUUGAGGCAAAUAACAUACUUAGAAUUUCACAAAACUCUGAACACACAUCAGUAUUUCUGAUAGGAACUUAAAUUGUGAAUGGAUUUUGGAUAGCUCGAAUGGUUUUGCCGUGGUGAUUUUUUUAAAUGACCUUACAAAGGGAAUCAUUAUUGUAUUUUUAAAUUGCAGCUUCCAAACACGUCAAAGAAUUUUUUCAUACAGAUGAAAAAGUCAUUCUGAGGAAAUAUGCAUAGUUUCACGACUUUACAACACUGUAUGGAUAACAGAAAAUUAAAAAAAACUGUCAGACAUCUCAUCUCACUCUGUCCCUCUGUUUGAGUAUAUGUGCUUAGACUUCCAUUGUCUGAGAGAAAUAGCGCCCCUACAGGUUCAAUUCCCGAACUUUUACUUUCACUUUUAAAUCGGUUAAAAAUACAAACAAAUACUUAGAUUUAAUUCACACUGACAAGCUAAACCAACAUAUCUGAUUAUUACCGGUUCAGGGCUCAUGGAUAAAUUAUUUCUGGCCAGAGAUACGUGAGAAAUAGGAGAGAUGAAUCACCGCUGUGAUCACGAGCGUCUGGAGUAAAGAGCUCAGAGAAAACGAAUUUAUUCCUGUUUUAAAGCUUUUAAAAAUAAAUUAUUACAGCGAUAUCACACAAUCAACCAAUUAGAACACACCAAGAGCUAAAUUCAGAUGUUUUUGAACUGUUUGUGUGAAAAUGAAAUAUUUGUGGCUGCCUAUCUGAAAUCACGCCUCCGAUCAGCGCGUACAGUGUCGAGCUCAAAACAAACGAAUUUAUUCUUGUUUAAGAGCUUUUUUAAAUAAAAUAUUACCACAAAUGCACACAAUAAACCCAUUGUAACACUACAAGAGCUAAAUGCAGGUGUUUGUGACCUGUUUAAGUGUGCAAGACUAUUUGAAAGCGCGACUGGCAGAAUAACAUGUAUCUCUGGAGCUGCAGGUUUCUGUCUUUCGUCGUACGAACGAACACAUCACGGACAAGAUUAUUUCAAAAUACAUAAUAGCUUGGCGAAUAUAAACGAAAACAGCCACGUGAACAUAAACUGGAUCUACUGGAUUUGAAUAUUAAAGUGACCACAUUUACCACUUGCUUCUGUCUUCAAUUUUAAUCUAUAUAAAAAAGGAAACUCAUUCGACUUGGCUGCUUUUUUAAUGUGUGCGUAUUUAUUUAUUUACCUUUUUAUACAUUUUGUAUAAUUUCAUAGUUUGUGUAUUACAAUUAUAAAAACAAAAAUAAAUUUAGCCACUCACAUAGAAAUAGCUUAGGCCUUAACCUUUUUCUGUCAGUUUUAGGGAUUUUUAAAAAUCCUAAAAAAAACUUAUUUGUGCUGCAAAUAAUAAUUUCAAACUCAUUUGAUACUGACCUAUG